rnacentral:rRNA from 1 species
GUCUUUUUGAAUUAAAUUUAAAGUCUAACCUGCCCACUGAAAAUUUUAAAUGGCCGCAGUAUUCUAACUGUGCAAAGGUAGCAUAAUCAUUAGUCUUUUAAUUGAAGGCUGGAAUGAAUGGUUGGACGAAAUAUUAACUGUUUCAUUUAAAUUUUUUAUAGAAUUUUAUUUUUUAGUAAAAAAGCUAAAAUAAAUUUAAAAGACGAGAAGACCCUAUAAAUCUUUAUAUUUUGUUUAUUUUAAUUAUAAAGAUUAUUUUUAUUAUAAUAAAUUAAAAUAUUUUAUUGGGGUGAUAUUAAAAUUUAAAAAACUUUUAAUUUUUAAAACCAUUAAUUUAUGAAUAAUUGAUCCAUUAAUAAUGAUUAAAAAUUUAAGUUACUUUAGGGAUAACAGCGUAAUUUUUUUGGAGAGUUCAUAUCGAUAAAAAAGAUUGCGACCUCGAUGUUGGAUUAAGAUAUAAUUUUGGGUGUAGCCGUUCAAAUUUUAAGUCUGUUCGACUUUUAAAUUCUU